GGUUCGAUGGCGUAGUUGGUUAUCGCAUCUGUCUAACAUCGACAAAUCACUGCACAGAAGGUCCCCGGUUCGAGCCCGGGUCGAAUCA